rnacentral:rRNA from 1 species
UACGUAGGGUGCGAGCGUUGUCCGGAAUUAUUGGGCGUAAAGAGCUCGUAGGCGGUGUGUCACGUCGUUCGUGAAAACUCACAACUCAAUUGUGGGCGUGCGGGCGAUACGGGCAGACUGGAGUACUGCAGGGGAGACUGGAAUUCCUGGUGUAGCGGUGGAAUGCGUAGAGAUGUGGAGGAACACCAGUGGCGAAGGCGACUCUUUGGCCUGUAACUGACGCUGAGGCGCGAAAGCGUGGGGAGCGAACAGG